UUACUGAACUAUAGAAGAGAGAAAAACCUCCACAUUCAACAGAGUUCAACACAAAACAAACUUUAUGUUCCUCAACAUGCUGUCAUUACAUCACUGUGUGUUUCCUUACUGGCUUCUCUUCCUGUUAACAGGUGUGAUCUGUGAGGAGCUCACAGCACUCGACACUCAGAAAUCCAGUUUAGAACAAAGCACUGUGACUCUGUCCUAUAAAUACUCCAGACAAGCAGCUCCUGGUGAUUAUUUCUUCUGGUAUCGACAAUAUCCUGGAAAAUCUCCAGAGUUCCUGAUCUCACACUCAGACAAAGGACAGCUGACAUCAGAUCCAGUCAUUAGACUGUCUGUGAAAGUGAACGCUGAUCAAACACUGAUGACUCUUCAGAUCUCCUCUGCUGCAGUGACAGACUCUGCUGUGUACUACUGUGCUCUGCAGCCCACAGUGACAGGAAACACCAAAACUCUGUACAAAAACCUUUGGAGCAAAGACAACAGAAUACUCCACAACAUCCACUAGAGGGAGCCACACACUGUUAAACCUCUGAUUCUUGUGUCAUUGGACUGAUGACAAAUCUUCAUCUUUAUCUCCAACAGAAAUCAAACUGAUCAAUAACAACAUGAUAAAUGAUUGAUCACUGAUCCCACAGAGGUGGUUGUAGGUAAAGUACAGACAUCCAGGACUUGUUCCAUCAACUUCUUUACUCAAAAGUGAAAAAGUGCAGAGUUAACUGAACCUUGUGCUACAUUAAUGUAAAUGAAUGAUAUCAGCACACAGGAACACAAACUUUAUUUCAGUGUAAAUCUGAAUUAUAAUAAAAUCACUUUCUUAGAUUGAAUCAGUGAAGUCGAACAUGAGCAGAGAAAAAGGGGAAAAUAAAGACAUUUCUAUUUUCUGUUGGCUCCUUUAGAGAGUGACUGUGCCUCUAACAGGAACAUGAGCAGAGAACAGGUUGAAGUGGA